rfam:Rhizopus microsporus genome assembly, contig: SCAF10
UUGCCUCAAAUGAAUGAGUAAGGAUAAUAUAGGCAUAUGGGUAAUACCAUACAGCAUCAUAUAUUCUUUUUCAAUUUUUGGAACAUUUGGCAUGGCCUUAACCUGACUACCUUGGCCGGGAAAGUUGCAUCUUUUGGGAAAGUUCUUUCUCUGGGAGAAGAGGAUAAAUAAGAGAGGAAAAUGACCUACUUUUUGUCAUUCAAUCUCUUUUUUUGAACCUUUUCCCA